rnacentral:rRNA from 1 species
UACGUAGGGUGCGAGCGUUGUCCGGAAUUAUUGGGCGUAAAGGGCUCGUAGGCGGUCUGUUACGUCGGGAGUGAAAACUCAGGGCUCAACCCUGAGCCUGCUUCCGAUACGGGCAGGCUGGAGUUCGGUAGGGGAGACUGGAAUUCCUGGUGUAGCGGUGAAAUGCGCAGAUAUCAGGAGGAACACCGGUGGCGAAGGCGGGUCUCUGGGCCGAUACUGACGCUGAGGAGCGAAAGCGUGGGGAGCGAACAGG